CAUUAAUUUUUCUCAGCUAGAUACGCCUCUCUACUUCCCAUCAGUUACAUGCUUUAAACCAAGCACUCUAUUUUCCACCUGUUCAUACUAUAAAAAGCCUCACUUCUCCAUCAGUUUUGAGAAGUUUUCCAUUAGAAUAUAUCUCUAUUUUUCCUCUCAAUCACAACUCCUAAGAAACACAAAUUGGUGAGAAUCACGUUGGAAUUUUUUCUUCCAAUCUCAAAGUUCUUUCAACGUUUAAGAGGUUCUGGCUCUCAUAUCCGUAGUCAGGCGCCCCAUUAGGACCUCUAUCUUCUGCUAUUGGCGAACCUCUUUCCUAUCAGGAGGUUGGAUGGGAUAUGAUAACUUCAUUAUAUUUUCUUUCCUUUUAGUAUUAAUACUUAUUAAAGGCUUUACAGACUGAUUUAGUUACCUAACAAAUCUUGUAAUUUUUAGUAUUACUUGUCAUGACUAUUGUAUCUUCAAACGUUAAGUGAUAUUGAUGAACAUUGAUGAAA